rnacentral:rRNA from 1 species
AUUGAACGCUGGCGGCAGGCCUAACACAUGCAAGUCGAACGAGUGGCGGACGGGUGAGUAAUGUCUGGGCAACUGCCUGAUGGAGGGGGAUAACUACUGGAAACGGAAGCCAAAAACGCCUACCAUCAGCUGUGCCCAGAUGGGAUUAGCUGGUUGGGGGGGUAUAGGCUCACCACGGCGACGAUCCCUAGCUGGUCUGAGAGGAUGACCAGCCACACUGGAACUGGGACACGGUCCAGACUCCUACGGGAGGCAGCAGUGGGGAAUAUUGGACAAUGGGCGCAAGCCUGAUGCAGCCAGGCCGCGUGUAUGAAGAAGGCCUUCGGGUUGUAAAGUACUUUCAGCGGGGAGGCGUUACCCGCAGAAUAAGCACCGGCUAACUCCGUGCCAGCAGCCGCGGUAAUUC